rnacentral:rRNA from 1 species
UGGGGAAUAUUGGACAAUGGGCGCAAGCCUGAUCCAGCCAUGCCGCGUGAGUGAUGAAGGCCUUAGGGUUGUAAAGCUCUUUCACCGGAGAAGAUAAUGACGGUAUCCGGAGAAGAAGCCCCGGCUAACUUCGUGCCAGCAGCCGCGGUAAUACGAAGGGGGCUAGCGUUGUUCGGAAUUACUGGGCGUAAAGCGCACGUAGGCGGAUCGAUCAGUCAGGGGUGAAAUCCCAGAGCUCAACUCUGGAACUGCCUUUGAUACUGUCGAUCUGGAGUAUGGAAGAGGUGAGUGGAAUUCCGAGUGUAGAGGUGAAAUUCGUAGAUAUUCGGAGGAACACCAGUGGCGAAGGCGGCUCACUGGUCCAUUACUGACGCUGAGGUGCGAAAGCGUGGGGAGCAAACA